ensembl:lncRNA
AGGCUGUCCGUGUUGAAAGACUGAAAGUAUUAUAAAAACCCCUUCGUUUUAGAGGAUUCUUCAGUUGCCUGGGUACUCGAUACCAUUUUGACCAGAGAAUCCUCCUCUUGAAUUGACAAGAGACAGCUUCAUCACACAGAAUCUACAGAGCUGGUAACCAAGUCCUACCAUUCUGAAAAUGGCAGAAAUUGAGGAAAUAAUUGAAGGUGUUGAAGAAUCCAUUGAAGGUGCUUCAGAAGAAGCUGAAGGAGCGUCAGAAGAAAUACAAGAGGAAGUAGAAGCUGAAGUGGCUGAAGCCAGCAGCGAGGUUGCAGAGUUCUCCAAAGUUGCUGAGACUUUAAAAACCUUCGCUAACGAUGCCAAAGCAUAUAUAUGGAAAAUAGUAAAAUUUCUCUUGAAAAAUGGAACUAUUGGUGUUAUUCUUUGGGGAGUAAAUGUGGGUCUCAACAAAUUAAUCAUCAAAGAUCCCCAACAAAGUUCAGAUGUGAAGAAGAAACGUACUGCCAUUAAGGCACUCACCACCGUGAUCAAGACUGAAACUGACUUGGGUAAGAAGACCUUGGAGUGGAUGAAAGAGCAUCAAGAUGACCAAAUUACCCUGGCUGGGUUUGAUGUGCCACUGGAAUCGGUUAUUGCAAAAUAUAUCACACCAAUAUCUGAGGUAUGUCUGGCACAGCUGCACACUGUGUGCAGUCAAGCAAAUACUGUAUUUUGUUUAUUACAAAAGUUGGUACAAAAGGCAAGUAAAGUCAAUCAAAAAAAAAAAAAAAAAACAGGUAGCUGGUCAAAAAAUCCAAAAGGCAACAGGUAACUAACACAACAGGGUUAAAAAAUGCACAAACCACAACCAAAGAAAAGGGAAACAAACAAAACAAAACCAUGGCCAGUGAAGAUGAGGUAUGCAAACAGACUGACUGGCAAAAACAGGGGUAAAGACAAGAGUAUACACAAAUGGUGGAUUCAGGCGACACGGUAACACCACAGGUGAAACCAGUUCAGUGACCUGGUUGCUUUUAUCUCCAAAUAUAUGCGGAAGAUUAAACAGCUUGCAACCAGUGAAGGUUGAUGUCGAAAAAGGAGGAAAACUACACAAAGGGAGGAAGUAAAGCAACUACAGACACCCAAGGAUGGAAAUUUAUUAAAAUAAAACAGGAAACAAACUGCAACAAAAACCAUGGCAAAUUUGGAUAUUGCACCAAACUGUGACAAAGCAAAUUAAAUCUAUGCUACGUGUUUAAUCAAUCAAUUGUUUAUUCUUUUUGGUUUUUAUUUUGAUGUUUUAGGCUGUUGAUAGAGCCUUUGAUAUAGCAAAAAACCUGCAGGCCAAGUUGGACGGAAAAGUUCAGUACCAAAUCCCAACUGGAGAAGACAUGAGAGAAAUCCUUACAGCUGGUGAUGCAUUUCACAAAGGCUUCAAUGACCUGGUCGCCUUCAUCUCUGAAAAUGUGCAGAAGAUUGAACAGCUGGCAACCUUUCCAGUGAAACAGGCAGACAUUGACCUUCUUACAACUCAGCUGAAAGCUGCCAAGGACUUACCUUUGUGGUAAAGAGAUGAGAUACCUUGAUUUGUGCUUACAAGAGAAAAGAGUCAGAAAGGUUGGUUUUCAGUUUUGUAUCUCUGGUUUCUGAUUGGUAAAAAAAAAUAAAAAAUUGUGCCAAACUUCAAGGACAGGGGAGUUUUAAAUGUUUCAGACCUGUGUUUAAAACAGAUAUAUAGUAAUUAACUCUUGCAGCCAUCCUUUAUUCUUCUCUUCAAUUCUCUUUUCCUCUUCACGCAUAAUUUACGUUACACAUGGCAAAAAUCUGUAAAAUAACUGUAAAUGUGCUGGAAACCUAUUGCCAGGGCUUUGUUUCAUAAUGAUAGAAUUAAAACUUUUUUAUUAUCAAUGUGUCCACAAUAAAAAGUAGACAUUUUCUGUUUUUUAUUGGUAAAUCUAUGUCCAUAUCGAGAUAGAGAUAAUGAUAGUGAUAGAGAUAGCGUUAGCGAUCGCUAAAUACAGCUAUGGAUUAGAACAGGCAGAGCUGUAUAAUGAUAUAUUAUUGUCAUGUGUUAUAACACUGCAGCACGUGUUAACUCAUGUCAUGUUAAUCAGUUUUAUGUUCAUGUGUUCAUUUUUGCUUUUAAAGCUUUGGAAAGGGAAUAAAAAUGUUUUGGAAGUGGGUCUAUAUUAUCACUGCUGUGGUGCUUGAUGUAUCAUAAAUAAACACUGCAGUUGCU